GAUGAACGCUGGCGGCGUGCUUAACACAUGCAAGUCGAACGGGAAUUAUUUUAUUGAAACUUCGGUCGAUUUAAUUUAAUUCUAGUGGCGGACGGGUGAGUAACGCGUGGGUAACCUGCCUUAUACAGGGGGAUAACAGUCAGAAAUGGCUGCUAAUACCGCAUAAGCGCACAGAGCUGCAUGGCUCAGUGUGAAAAACUCCGGUGGUAUAAGAUGGACCCGCGUUGGAUUAGCUGGUUGGUGGGGUAACGGCCCAGCAAGGCGACGAUCCAUAGCCGGCCUGAGAGGGUGAACCGCCACAUUGGGACUGAGACACGGCCCAGACUCCUACGGGAGGCAGCAGUGGGGAAUAUUGCACAAUGGGGGAAACCCUGAUGCAGCGGCGCCGCGUGAAGGAAGAAGUGUCUCGGUAUGUAAACUUCUAUCAGCAGGGAAGAUAGUGACGGUACCUGACUAAGAAGCCCCGGCUAACUACGUG
rnacentral:rRNA from 1 species